rnacentral:rRNA from 1 species
UGAACGCUGGCGGCAGGCCUAACACAUGCAAGUCGAGCGGUAGCACAGAGAGCUUGCUCUCGGGUGACGAGCGGCGGACGGGUGAGUAAUGUCUGGGAAACUGCCUGAUGGAGGGGGAUAACUACUGGAAACGGUAGCUAAUACCGCAUAAUGUCGCAAGACCAAAGUGGGGGACCUUCGGGCCUCAUGCCAUCAGAUGUGCCCAGAUGGGAUUAGCUAGUAGGUGGGGUAACGGCUCACCUAGGCGACGAUCCCUAGCUGGUCUGAGAGGAUGACCAGCCACACUGGAACUGAGACACGGUCCAGACUCCUACGGGAGGCAGCAGUGGGGAAUAUUGCACAAUGGGCGCAAGCCUGAUGCAGCCAUGCCGCGUGUGUGAAGAAGGCCUUCGGGUUGUAAAGCACUUUCAGCGGGGAGGAAGGCGGUAAGGUUAAUAACCUCAUCGAUUGACGUUACCCGCAGAAGAAGCACCGGCUAACUCCGUGCCAGCAGCCGCGGUAAUACGGAGGGUGCAAGCGUUAAUCGGAAUUACUGGGCGUAAAGCGCACGCAGGCGGUCUGUCAAGUCGGAUGUGAAAUCCCCGGGCUCAACCUGGGAACUGCAUUCGAAACUGGCAGGCUAGAGUCUUGUAGAGGGGGGUAGAAUUCCAGGUGUAGCGGUGAAAUGCGUAGAGAUCUGGAGGAAUACCGGUGGCGAAGGCGGCCCCCUGGACAAAGACUGACGCUCAGGUGCGAAAGCGUGGGGAGCAAACAGGAUUAGAUACCCUGGUAGUCCACGCCGUAAACGAUGUCGAUUUGGAGGUUGUGCCCUUGAGGCGUGGCUUCCGGAGCUAACGCGUUAAAUCGACCGCCUGGGGAGUACGGCCGCAAGGUUAAAACUCAAAUGAAUUGACGGGGGCCCGCACAAGCGGUGGAGCAUGUGGUUUAAUUCGAUGCAACGCGAAGAACCUUACCUGGUCUUGACAUCCACAGAACUUUCCAGAGAUGGAUUGGUGCCUUCGGGAACUGUGAGACAGGUGCUGCAUGGCUGUCGUCAGCUCGUGUUGUGAAAUGUUGGGUUAAGUCCCGCAACGAGCGCAACCCUUAUCCUUUGUUGCCAGCGGUCCGGCCGGGAACUCAAAGGAGACUGCCAGUGAUAAACUGGAGGAAGGUGGGGAUGACGUCAAGUCAUCAUGGCCCUUACGACCAGGGCUACACACGUGCUACAAUGGCAUAUACAAAGAGAAGCGACCUCGCGAGAGCAAGCGGACCUCAUAAAGUAUGUCGUAGUCCGGAUUGGAGUCUGCAACUCGACUCCAUGAAGUCGGAAUCGCUAGUAAUCGUAGAUCAGAAUGCUACGGUGAAUACGUUCCCGGGCCUUGUACACACCGCCCGUCACACCAUGGGAGUGGGUUGCAAAAGAAGUAGGUAGCUUAACCUUCGGGAGGGCGCUUACCACUUUGUGAUUCAUGACUGGGGUGAAGUCGUAACAAGGUAACCGUAGGGGAACCUG